AGGAAAGGAUUGCUAACCGUCAUAAGAUUAUGAACUGAAAUAAUUGAAGCAGAAGCAAGCUAAUCGCAUGAGAUUUAUUGCUCCAACAGAUACGAUGGUGAACCAUUGCUAUGAAGCCGGGAAUGGAAAAUUGAGAUCUUGAAAAGUUAUGGCGGACAACCUAAUUGGCAG